rfam:Desulfovibrio vulgaris subsp. vulgaris str. Hildenborough, complete genome.
CGACGAGCCUCUGGAGAGACCCCGCAAGGGGCACCGAAGGAGCAAGCCGCCCCAUGUGGCGGUGAAACUCUCAGGUAAAAGGACAGAGGGAGGGCC